rnacentral:rRNA from 1 species
UACGGAGGGUGCGAGCGUUAAUCGGAAUUACUGGGCGUAAAGCGCACGUAGGCUGUCAUGUAAGUCAGGGGUGAAAGCCCACGGCUCAACCGUGGAACUGCCUUUGAUACUGCACGACUUGAAUACGGGAAAGGGCGGCGGAAUUCCAGGUGUAGGAGUGAAAUCCGUAGAUAUCUGGAGGAACAUCAGUGGCGAAGGCGGCCGCCUGGACCGAGAUUGACGCUGAGGUGCGAAAGCGUGGGGAGCAAAC